UACGUAGGAUGCAAGCGUUGUCCGGAAUUAUUGGGCGUAAAGAGCGCGCAGGCGGCCUAUCAAGUCAGAUGUGAAAUAACCAGGCUUAACCUGGUGGGGUCAUUUGAAACUGGCAGGCUAGAGUACAGCAGAGGAUAGCGGAAUUCCCGGUGUAGCGGUGAAAUGCGCAGAUAUCGGGAAGAACACCCGUGGCGAAGGCGGCUCUCUGGGACGGUACUGACGCUGAGACGCGAAAGCGUGGGGAGCGAACAGG
rnacentral:rRNA from 1 species